AUGUAUGCUUGCACUAGACAGAUUUGCGUAACUGAAAUGAUUUGAUUUGCUGACGCGGUUUAACACAAGUUACAUAUCUUACGUCGCAUGGGGAAGCAGCAUAAGGCCUGGAAUACAAUAUGUCGUAUGUUGGAGUCGGAUGUCGCAACUCAGUUGAUGGUCCAAUAAGACAGUUUGUUUUCCGGUAACGAGUUUUUCUCAUUGGACUAUGAAUGAAUCCGACAUCUGACUCCGAUAUACGACGUAUUGUGUUCCAGGCCUAAGAGCUCUCGCAGGCCAGCGCGACGCGACACGCGACAAGCGACGUGCGAUAUUCAAUGAUCGUUCUGCUAUUUUGAUAAUUGUACGCUUAUUGGAUAUCACGCGUUGCAUAUCGCGUGUCGCGUUACGCUGGCUAUGAGAGCUCUAAGAUUGCGAGGAUACUGAACUAUCUACAUAAUAGAUAAUAGGAAAUAACAACAUUUGAUCAUUUAUUUGUGAUGUACAAAGCUUAUUUCUCAACUCAUAAGUUUGACUUGAACGAUAUAUGUAGAUGCCACCACAAUAUAAACAAAAAUUUCGUCUGGCUUGGUUAAAGUCAGAUAAAUUCAAAGACUGGCUCUUACCUAUUGAUGAUGAUCCAACAAGAGCAACAUGUAAGUGGUGUAAAUGCACUAUUACUGCCAAAUUGACUGACAUUGAUAACCAUUCGAAAAGUAGAAAACAUAUAAGAGCAUCAGCUCUAUUUACUUCAUCGUUUUGUCAAAAGAAGAUUGAUUUUCCUAAAAGAAAUAAGAAGACAUCAGUUGCUAAAAGUAGAUAAUACCGCGUAUAUAAUACUGCUUAUAAUAAAAUGAAAU